GAUGAACGCUGGCGGCGUGCUUAACACAUGCAAGUCGAACGGAAAGGCCCAAGCUUGCUUGGGUACUCGAGUGGCGAACGGGUGAGUAACGCGUGGGUGAUCUGCCCUGCACUUCGGGAUAAGCCUGGGAAACUGGGUCUAAUACCGGAUAGGACGAUGGUUUGGAUGCCAUUGUGGAAAGUUUUUUCGGUGUGGGAUGAGCUCGCGGCCUAUCAGCUUGUUGGUGGGGUAAUGGCCUACCAAGGCGUCGACGGGUAGCCGGCCUGAGAGGGUGUACGGCCACAUUGGGACUGAGAUACGGCCCAGACUCCUACGGGAGGCAGCAGGGGGGAAUAUUGCACAAUGGGCGCAAGCCUGAUGCAGCGACGCCGCGUGGGGGAUGACGGCCUUCGGGUUGUAAACUCCUUUCGCUAGGGACGAAGCGUUUUUGUGACGGUACCUGGAGAAGAAGCACCGGCUAACUACGUG
rnacentral:rRNA from 1 species